rnacentral:rRNA from 1 species
UACAGAGGUCUCAAGCGUUGUUCGGAUUCAUUGGGCGUAAAGGGCGCGUAGGUGGCCGAGCAAGGUCGCGGUGAAAGCCCGGGGCUCAACCCCGGGUCGGCCGUGGCAACUACUGGGCUGGAGCACUGUAGGGGCGGGUGGAAUUCCGGGUGUAGCGGUGGAAUGCGUAGAGAUCCGGAAGAACACCGGUGGCGAAGGCGGCCCGCUGGGCAGUUGCUGACACUGAGGCGCGACAGCGUGGGGAGCAAACGGG